UACGAGGGGGGCAAGCGUUGUUCGGAAUUAUUGGGCGUAAAGGGCGCGUAGGCGGUGCGGUAAGUCUGAUGUGAAAUCUCCGGGCUCAACUCGGAGUCUGCAUCAGAAACUGCCGUGCUUGAGUGUGGGAGAGGUGAGUGGAAUUCCUGGUGUAGCGGUGAAAUGCGCAGAUAUCAGGAGGAACACCUGUGGCGAAAGCGGCGCACUGGACCACAACUGACGCUGAGGCGCGAAAGCUAGGGGAGCAAACAGG
rnacentral:rRNA from 1 species